GACCCGCGCGUCGCGGUCUCUGCCCGAACCGGCCCUGGCGUACUUCCCCAACGUCAGGUCCACGCAUUCGGGCAGGGACCUCGGUGCACGGGCGCGGCGAC
rfam:Mycobacterium insubricum strain DSM 45130 Mycobacterium_insubricum_DSM45130_contig8, whole genome shotgun sequence.